CAAAUGCUUUAGGGGUGCUGUAAAAAGCUGAGAUCUUACCCUCAAAAACCUGAUCCAGGUAAUACUGGCGAAGGGAAAAGUUGAAGGACCAUU
rnacentral:ncRNA from 2 species